CGUGAGUGAUGAAGGCUUUCGGGUCGUAAAACUCUGUUGUUAGGGAAGAACAAGUGCUAGUUGAAUAAGCUGGCACCUUGACGGUACCUAACCAGAAAGCCACGGCUAACUACGUGCCAGCAGCCGCGGUAAUACGUAGGUGGCAAGCGUUAUCCGGAAUUAUUGGGCGUAAAGCGCGCGCAGGUGGUUUCUUAAGUCUGAUGUGAAAGCCCACGGCUCAACCGUGGAGGGUCAUUGGAAACUGGGAGACUUGAGUGCAGAAGAGGAAAGUGGAAUUCCAUGUGUAGCGGUGAAAUGCGUAGAGAUAUGGAGGAACACCAGUGGCGAAGGCGACUUUCUGGUCUGUAACUGACACUGAGGCGCGAAAGCGUGGGGAGCAAACAGAAUUAGAUACCCUGGUAGUCCACGC
rnacentral:rRNA from 1 species